GACGAACGCUGGCGGCGUGCCUAAUACAUGCAAGUUGAGCGCUGAAGGUUGGUACUUGUACCAACUGGAUGAGCAGCGAACGGGUGAGUAACGCGUGGGGAAUCUGCCUUUGAGCGGGGGACAACAUUUGGAAACGAAUGCUAAUACCGCAUAAAAACUUUAAACACAAGUUUUAAGUUUGAAAGAUGCAAUUGCAUCACUCAAAGAUGAUCCCGCGUUGUAUUAGCUAGUUGGUGAGGUAAAGGCCCACCAAGGCGAUGAUACAUAGCCGACCUGAGAGGGGGAUCGGCCACAUUGGGACUGAGACACGGCCCAAACUCCUACGGGAGGCAGCAGUAGGGAAUCUUCGGCAAUGGACGAAAGUCUGACCGAGCAACGCCGCGUGAGUGAAGAAGGUUGUCGGAUCGUAAAACUCUGUUGGUAGAGAAGAACGUUGGUGAGAGUGGAAAGCUCAUCAAGUGACGGUAACUACCCAGAAAGGGACGGCUAACUACGUG
rnacentral:rRNA from 1 species